rnacentral:rRNA from 1 species
GACGAACGCUGGCGGCGUGCUUAACACAUGCAAGUCGAACGGAAAGGCCCUGCUUUUGUGGGGUGCUCGAGUGGCGAACGGGUGAGUAACACGUGAGUAACCUGCCCUUGACUUUGGGAUAACUUCAGGAAACUGGGGCUAAUACCGGAUAGGAGCUCCUGCUGCAUGGUGGGGGUUGGAAAGUUUCGGCGGUUGGGGAUGGACUCGCGGCUUAUCAGCUUGUUGGUGGGGUAGUGGCUUACCAAUGCUUUGACGGGUAGCCGGCCUGAGAGGGUGACCGGGCACAUUGGGACUGAGAUACGGCUCAGACUCCUACGGGAGGCAGCAGUGGGGAAUAUUGCACAAUGGGCGGAAGCCUGAUGCAGCAACGCCGCGUGCGGGAUGACGGCAUUCGGGUUGUAAACCGCUUUCGCCUGUGACGAAGCGUGAGUGACGGUAAUGGGUAAAGAAGCACCGGCUAACUACGUG